GAUGAACGCUAGCUACAGGCUUAACACAUGCAAGUCGAGGGGUAACAAGAGGAAAGCUUGCUUUUCUUGUUGACGACCGGCGCACGGGUGAGUAACGCGUAUCCAACCUGCCUAUAACUAGGGAAUAACCUUGCGAAAGUAAGACUAAUACCCUAUGAUUUCCUUUGAUGACAUCAGAUUAGGAAUAAAGAUUUAUCGGUUAUAGAUGGGGAUGCGUCUGAUUAGCUUGUUGGCGGGGUAACGGCCCACCAAGGCAACGAUCAGUAGGGGUUAUGAGAGCACGGUCCCCCACCUUGGAUCUGCUACACGGUCCAAACUCCUACGGGAGGCAGCAUUGAGGAAUAUUGGUCAAUGGGCGGAAGCCUGAACCAGCCAAGUAGCGUGCAGGAUGACGGCCCUAUGGGUUGUAAACUGCUUUUAUACAGGAAUAAAGUUAGCCACGUGUGGUUAUUUGUAGGUACUGUAUGAAUAAGGACCGGCUAAUUCCGUGCCAGCCGCCGCGGUAA
rnacentral:rRNA from 1 species